UACGGGGGGGGGCAAGCGUUUGUUCGGAAUUACUGGGCGUAAAGGGUCUGUAGGUGGCUUGCUAAGUCAGACGUGAAAUCCCUCGGCUUAACCGGGGAACUGCGUCUGAUACUGGCGAGCUUGAGUGCAGGAGAGGAACGCGGAAUUCCAGGUGUAGCGGUGAAAUGCGUAGAUAUCUGGAGGAACACCGGUGGCGAAGGCGGCGUUCUGGACUGCAACUGACACUGAGAGACGAAAGCCAGGGGAGCAAACGGG
rnacentral:rRNA from 1 species